ACGUCCAUACCAUGAUGAAAACACCGGUUCUCGUCCGAUCACCGAAUUUAAGCAUCAUCGGGCGCGGUUAGUACUGGGAGGGUGACC